UAUGUAGGGUGCGAGCGUUAAUCGGAAUUACUGGGCGUAAAGGGCGCGUAGGCGGGAUGGCAAGUCGGUCGUGAAAUCCCUCGGCUCAACCGAGGAACGUCGAUCGAUACUGCUGUUCUUGAGGAUUGCAGAGGAGACUGGAAUUCCCGGUGUAGCGGUGAAAUGUGUAGAGAUCGGGAGGAACACCGGUGGCGAAGGCGGGUCUCUGGGCAAUUCCUGACGCUGAGGCGCGAAAGCGUGGGGAGCAAACGGG
rnacentral:rRNA from 1 species